UUCUUCAAGGUCACAUCGUUAUUUUUAUACAUAAUUGGAUCGGAUCAACGUUGUCCAUUUUUUCCUACCGAAUCGGCGAUUCAGAAGAUUGAAUAAAUUUACCAUCCCCCAUUACGCAUACCUGCACAUUUGUUAAGAAGAUGAAAAAAGAAAAAUGAAUAAAUAAAAUUUCUUCACACCCGCAGAUGGUGCAGGGUGCAUUCGUUCGAAGCGAAACUAAAAAAAAAUAAAAUAAAAGAAGAAAAUGAAGAAGAAAAUAAGAAGUAUUCACAUAGCCCGUACCAGCUAAGGCGGCGGAACUCACUGUGCCUAGUCAUCGCCCAGCAGUCCCCAUGAGAAAAUGACUCGGUGACCACCUAUGUGACUCUCGUCUGCGACGCGCAAGGGAUAUGGGUACACACCACAUGUAAUACAUAUCGACUAUACAGGGUGAGAGGAUGGAAAAAAAAAAAAAAAACUGUGAUUUGG